AAAAAAUACAAAUAACUUAUCAAAACAACACAAGAGAAGAAUUAAAAUAAAAGAACAUAACAAGAAACAACAACAACAAUAACCUCGAAAAUCGAAUUAUCGAUUAAUCGCACAGAUGAUAUCGUAAGUAUCGUAAUAAAUUAAAAUUAAUCGGCUUGACAACUCCAGUGUGUACUAAUUAUUUAUUUAAGGUAAGUGACUGAUUAUUCCAAAGAAAGACACUCCAAGUAAAUAAUGCUAAAUACCGUUCAUCGAUAAAGAUUUAUAUUACAGCAACUUUUUAAUGCCACGGUUAAAUACACGACAGCGGUGGCAAAAUGAAAGUUCCCAAAGCGGUGUAAAAAAAAAAAAACGUUAAAAUAAAGAGAAAAAACUGUCACGGAGAGAAAAAAGGUUACCCAGCAAAUUAAAUAUUCAGAACAGCCAUUAAUUUUACAAAUUUUCGCGAGAGACGCCAUUUAUGCCAUGUGUUUGCCACGUAAUAAAGCGAGAAAAGCUCUUUAUUAUUGAAAUUACGGCAGGCGACAGCAGGAAGAGAGAGAAUGUCUCGCGUGGAUCCACCCCGCUCGCUCGUACCUAGCCCGGCAAACACGCCGCACCGCACUUCCCGGAUUGUUUUAGGGUGCGCCAAAGAGCCGGGGAAACCGCCAGUCGAAGCUCAACCGGACGCUAGAAAUUAUUUAUGCUGGGACACGCCUGCCAACGCACGCGCACGUCGUGUACAUCCCCCUGGCACGCAAUGGCGGCGGCAGGUCGUUCCAGCACCGCGACGCAGCGAAUCUGAAGGAGCCUCGAAAUGCCACAGUGCGAUGUCUUGGAGUAGCAAAGAUGUGGGUGCACUGCCUCCUUGGAUAUCCGCUGUGGACCCACUCCAGCUUUAGGAAUAGCAAUAUCCUACAUUGGAACAACCUGUGAUAGUGUGAAAUUGUAUCACCGCUGGGAAUUAUCAGUACCGAACCAACAACAACGAGACAAAAAAGCGAUAAAUGAAGCAUAUAAAACAAAUUUUGGUCGACCGCCAGUCAUUGCGCCGGGGAGCCGAACACCCUCACAACGUCCUCCAUAGAGCGCAGCUGGAACAC